rnacentral:rRNA from 1 species
CGUAACCGGGCUGAAGUCGUACCGUAAGGAGCGGUGGACUGGUUACGAGUGAGAAUGUUGGCAUCAGUAGCGAGAUGUGGGUGAGAAUCCCACAGGCCGAAAACCUAAGGUUUCCUCAGGAAGGUUCGUCCGCUGAGGGUUAGUCGGGACCUAAGCCGAGGCCGAAAGGCGUAGGUGAUGGACAACUGGUUGAUAUUCCAGUACCACUACCAUCGUUAUUAUCGAUGGCGUGACGCAGGAGGAUAGUGUGUGCUAGCUAUUGGAUGCUAGUCUAAGCGUUUAGGCAGUGAGAGUAGGCAAAUCCGCUCUCAUAAUGCUGAGGCGUGAUGGGGAAGGUUCUACGGAACCGAAGUACAUGAUUCCACGCUGCCAAGAAAAGCGUCUAGAGAGAGAAGUAGUGCCCGUACCGCAAACCGACACAGGUAGGUGAGGAGAGAAUCCUAAGGCCGGCGGAAGAAUUACAGUUAAGGAACUCGGCAAAUUGACCCCGUAAGUUCGCGAGAAGGGGUGCCUACGAGAGUAGGCCGCAGAGAAUAGGCCCAAGCAACUGUUUAGCAAAAACACAGGUCUCUGCUAAAGCGUAAGCUGAUGUAUAGGGGCUGACGCCUGCCCGGUGCUGGAAGGUUAAGGGGAACACUUAGCGCAAGCGAAGGUGUGAACUUAAGCCCCAGUAAACGGCGGCCGUAACUAUAACGGUCCUAAGGUAGCGAAAUUCCUUGUCAGGUAAGUUCUGACCCGCACGAAUGGCGUAAUGACUUGGGCACUGUCUCAACUGUAAAUCCGGCGAAGUUGUAGUGCGAGUGAAGAUGCUCGCUACCCGCGAUUGGACGGAAAGACCCCGUAGAGCUUUACUGUAGCUUAGCAUUGAGUUUUGGUAUUGUCUGUACAGGAUAGGUGGGAGACUAGGAAACCAGGGCGUCAGCCUUGGUGGAGUCAACCUUGGGAUACCACCCUGACAGUACUGAAAUUCUAACUGGCGGCCAUGAAUCUGGUCACAGGACAUUGUUAGGUGGGCAGUUUGACUGGGGCGGUCGCCUCCUAAAAAGUAACGGAGGCGCCCAAAGGUUCCCUCAGAACGGUCGGAAAUCGUUCGAAGAGUGCAAAGGCAGAAGGGAGCCUGACUGCGACACCCACAAGUGGAGCAGGGACGAAAGUCGGGCUUAGUGAUCCGGUGGUACCUCGUGGGAGGGCCAUCGCUCAACGGAUAAAAGCUACCUCGGGGAUAACAGGCUGAUCUCCCCCAAGAGUCCACAUCGACGGGGAGGUUUGGCACCUCGAUGUCGGCUCGUCGCAUCCUGGGGCUGAAGUAGGUCCCAAGGGUUGGGCUGUUCGCCCAUUAAAGCGGCACGCGAGCUGGGUUCAGAACGUCGUGAGACAGUUCGGUCCCUAUCCGUCGCGGGCGUAGGAAAUUUGAGAGGAGCUGUCCUUAGUACGAGAGGACCGGGAUGGACUGACCUCUGGUGUACCAGUUGUUCCGCCAGGAGCACAGCUGGGUAGCUAAGUCGGGAAUGGAUAAACGCUGAAAGCAUCUAAGCGUGAAGCCAACCUCAAGAUGAGAUUUCCCAUAGCGUAAGCUAGUAAGAUCCCUUGAAGAACACAAGGUUGAUAGGUCGGGGGUGUAAGC